AUUAUACUUACAAAAGUCUCCGAAAAGUCCUUGGAGUUACGCAAUUUGGGGCCCGCAGACGCGCGUGGACACAAAAACACACGCUCCCGAGAUCCACCCUCCCCGGGCCACACUGUGGGGCUGCGUCCGGGGCACGGGCCAUGCCUGAACCUUCUUCCACCGCCGCGCCCCGGGCCCGCGCCCCGCCGGCCGCCCGCACUGGGUCCCGCGUCGCCCCCGCCACCACACCGAGCCGCCCAGUACCUCCUCCUCCUGAAGAAAAAUGAGGGUCUCACUUUGUUGCUCAGGCUGAGCUCGAGCUCCUGGCCUCAAGUGAUCCUCCUGCUUUUGGCCUCCCAAACUGAUGGGAUUACAACGUGGAGCCACCGUGUUAAACUCUUAGAUUUGACUGCUACAAAGGUAUAAAUGUGGAACUCCAUAUAUCAGUGGGUUCUGCCCCACUUCUUCCUCCCAGGAAUUCUCCAUCCCAGCCUGCUGCUCCUGUCUUGCACCGGGGAACAAACAUGUAUCCUGGAUGAAAAUAAACCAACUCUUGAAACUGCAACCCAAGACAUUCAGAAGAGAUAAGGCUACAGUGAAUGUGGAAACUUUGCACGUGUUUGGAUGUAUUGAUUGCCUUAACUGGCAGCUCUUUGCACUGCCAGCUUCCCUCAAUUACAUGAGGAACCACGAGGGGGCAAUGUCUUCCCGAGCAAUAAUAGCUGAGUGGUGGUCUUAGGACCCCGUGGUGGCCCAUGAUGCUAGCACUGUGUCUUUGGCCAUUCUUGCCUGUCAUGGAGCAUACUCCACAGAAGGGCAUGGUCUUCUUGGAUCCCGGCAUGGGCCCAACAAAAAUGACAAUGUAGUCAAUAGUUCCACUCAGACCUCACUUAGGAGCAGGUGAACUAUGUUGUGUGAUAUCAGGAUGCCCGGAGAACCUCUCCUAUCCCCACCCAGGGAAGCAUGGCUUAAUUCCAAAUAAAGAAUCUGAUUUCUUUGUCUUUAAGCCAAGCCAGGACUUUGUCCAUUGUUAAAAGUCAAAAAUCUCUGGGAUAAGAAACAAAAAUAAGUUCCAGGCGGGGCACGGUGGCUCAUGCCUGUAAUCCCAGCACUUUGGGAGGCCGAGGUGAGCCCAACACCUGAUGUCAGGAG
rnacentral:lncRNA from 1 species